UACGUAGGGUGCAAGCGUUAAUCGGAAUUACUGGGCGUAAAGCGUGCGCAGGUGGUUAUGUAAGACAGGUGUGAAAUCCCCGGGCUUAACCUGGGAACUGCAUUUGUGACUGCAUAGCUAGAGUACGGUAGAGGGGGGAUGGAAUUCCGCGUGUAGCAGUGAAAUGCGUAGAUAUGCGGAGGAACACCGAUGGCGAAGGCAAUCCCCCUGGACCUGUACUGACGCUCAUGCACGAAAAGCGUGGGGGAGCAAACAGGAUUAGAAACCCCCUGU
rnacentral:rRNA from 1 species